AGUGAACGCUGGCGGUAGGCCUAACACAUGCAAGUCGAACGGCAGCACAGUAAGAGCUUGCUCUUACGGGUGGCGAGUGGCGGGCGGGUGAGGAAUACAUCGGAAUCUACUUUUUCGUGGGGGAUAACGUAGGGAAACUUACGCUAAUACCGCAUACGACCUACGGGUGAAAGCAGGGGAUCUUCGGACCUUGCGCGAUUGAAUGAGCCGAUGUCGGAUUAGCUAGUUGGCGGGGUAAAGGCCCACCAAGGCGACGAUCCGUAGCUGGUCUGAGAGGAUGAUCGGCCACACUGGAACUGAGACACGGUCCAGACUCCUACGGGAGGCAGCAGUGGGGAAUAUUGGACAAUGGGCGCAAGCCUGAUCCAGCCAUACCGCGUGGGUGAAGAAGGCCUUCGGGUUGUAAAGACCUUUUGUUGGGAAAGAAAAGCAGCAGGUUAAUACCCAGCUGUUCUGACGGUACCCAAAGAAUAAGCACCGGCUAACUUCGUG
rnacentral:rRNA from 1 species